rnacentral:rRNA from 1 species
UACGUAGGGGGCUAGCGUUGUCCGGAAUCAUUGGGCGUAAAGCGCGUGUAGGCGGCCCGGUAAGUCCGCUGUGAAAGUCGGGGGCUCAACCCUCGAAAGCCGGUGGAUACUGUCGGGCUAGAGUACGGAAGAGGCGAGUGGAAUUCCUGGUGUAGCGGUGAAAUGCGCAGAUAUCAGGAAGAACACCUAUGGCGAAAGCAGCUCUCUGGGACGGUACUGACGCUGAGACGCGAAAGCGUGGGGAGCGAACAGG